ensembl:snRNA U6 U6 spliceosomal RNA
GUGUUCGCUUCCACAGCACAUAUACUAAAAUUAGAAUGAUACCGAGAUUAGCACAGCCCCUGUGCAAUGACACAAAAAAAAUACUUUCUUUUGUU